GGGAAGGAGAGGGGGGAUGGUAUGGGGGGAUGGCAUGGUGGGGAUGUUGGGGGGAUGCACACACAGGGUAUCCGUUUUCUAAGAUACAACCGAGAACGACCAUAGGUACAUCCCCCCAGGUCUGGGAUUUCUGUAACACACUUGCAACUGGGGACCCAUGUGGUGAGCGCAGGUCCCCAGGUGGAUAGGGACGGCAUUGGGGGGUCAUCACACUAUUCACGCUAACAGACAAUGCAGAUUGUCUAAAAUAAAAUCAAAAAAUUUAAAAUACAUAGAAACACCAAAUGUGAGUCACGUUUACCUAUCUGACCUCAUUUGGUCCACCUGUGUCCUGGUCCCUCUGUGGCUGUGCUGCCUGCCCCAGGGUCCCUCACUGCUCCCCUAUGGCCCCCGGCCCUGAGCCCUGCUCUUCACAGGGUAGUUCUAUGUCACCCGGUGGGGUUCAGCUCACACGGUGACACCGGGAGGCCUGUCCGGCGCCCUCGUCAUCAACAGACCCCGAGGGGAUAAGGGGUCGUCCCAAUCACUUUACCAUGAGGCAGUAUGGUUUGCUGCCCUCCCUCCUCUUCUCCUCAGAGCCCCCGUGCUCCCCACCCAGAAACCGCUGGGCGUCCCCUGGACCCCGGAGUGUCCCCUGGGUCCGCCAGAACCCAGCUUGGCCGGCAGCCUCACCUGACCCCACAGUGGUCCCAGAACACCAUGUGGUUGCAGAAGGGAGAUCUGUUUGGUUUGGGGGUGGAGACCUGGGCCUCCUCCUUCAUUUCCUGUGGGGAGAACCCCGGGGUGGGGGGACAUUGUGAGGGACUCAGAACCCUAACUGUCACCAACUGCCAUCCUAGCAGGGAGCACUGCUGGCCACCAUGUGAGUGUGUCCCGCAGGCCCUCCUCGUUGCUUGUGAUUCCAGGAACAGGCACAGGUUCCUGGAUUUCACCCUCUCGAUGUCUAGUAGACGCAACCACACCUGUCCCUGCACCUGGGGAGGGACCCCUUAUAGCCCCGACAACGACCCAGCUGCAGGAGGAAGCAGUGCUGCAGGGAGCACUGCUGACCACCAUGUGAGUGUGCCCCGCAGGCCCUCCUUGUUCCCUGUGAUUCCAGGAACGGGCACAGGUGUCCACCAGCCCGGGGACCGGGUCAAGGCUCCUGCUCAGGUGCGGCAUGGCCCGGCCCGCUGUCCUCCACUCCCUGUCCCCACCCGAGAGCCCAUUCUGCUUCGUCCAGCGGGAACCUGGCACCAGCCACCUGCUCGGCCCCGCUCUGGGCUCCAGGCCUGUCCAGGGUGCCAGCUCCCAUCAGCCUGA
rnacentral:lncRNA from 1 species